rnacentral:rRNA from 1 species
UGGGUAACCUGCCCCUCUCUCUGGGAUAACCCCGGGAAACCGGAGCUAAUACCGGAUACUCCGGCUGGAUCGCAUGGUCCGGCCGGGAAAGGUCCGCCGGAGAGGGAUGGGCCCGCAGCCUAUCAGCUUGUUGGUGAGGUAACGGCUCACCAAGGCUACGGACGGGUAGCUGGUCUGAGAGGACGACCAGCCACACUGGAACUGAGAUACGGCCAGACUCCGUACGGGAGGCA